CCAUUGAUAAUGGGAGAAAGAUGUGAUGUAAUUUACUGGCACUCUUGAGCUCCGAGAGACGCCGAAGAGGAGCGAGCCUCCUUCCCCCGCGUGACGAUCCAGUGUGGCACCAUGUCGAGGAGGCUGGCAAUGGGAUAAGGCACGUCCGAACAUGCUGCUUCUUCUCCGGCUCCUUCCAAAAUGUGUCCCCCGACGGUGCGUUUGUGAGCCACUCGGAUGCGUGUCCUACAUUUAGAGCGCACUUGGUCAUGAACUGAGAACCAUCUCCAGAGCAAAUGUCAGACGCCAUGUUGUAGAGAGGAUCGUCGGGACUCUCGUGGACGACAAACACAGGAACAAAAUGGUUGUCGUGCCUGGGGGAAUGGUAAUAGGUGUCCAAAAGGGAAGUUCUUGAACGUCUUACAGCUGGCCCCGAAGUCAAACACCUCUUGUGGAUCACUGUAGUCUGCCAGCUGCUGACCGAUGUCGACAACGAGGUCGUCCGUGGCGUCGCCGUUCAUGUUUCCCAACAAUCCCUCCGUGGAGUUUCGGAAUUCUUCGGCACCUGGAGGCGGCUGUGACCAGGUAACAGUCGCACCUCGAUGACAUCGGAGGACGCCUCUUUCAUGGCGACGGACGACAGCUUUGUCGCGUUGACGGCCGUCCCUGUGAACGAGGGCGCAGAAUGGACACCAGGCUCCUUGCGAGCAAAACGGUUUGCGGCGGCCUCUGCUCACCGUUGACCGGCUCUGUUCUGCCUUGGACUGCCAGUCCUUUCCCGGCCGACGUCAACAAUCUGUACUCGCCUUUGCCAUUGAAGGAGUAGCGCACUCCGUCGAAAGUUAUGAAGUGUGGAUCUCCAAACACCACGGCUACGAGACGCAUCUCGUGGUUAGUGUUGAUCUGACAGCGAGUGGAUGACAGUGAAAUAAAUACCAGAGUUGGGAGGUUGGUAGCGCCGACAGUCGCUGGAGGGCCGGUGUUUGAAGUAAUAGUGGCAGUUGUCGGACCACAGGCAGCAGUAGUAGAAGCUGAGGACGUCGUAGACCCAGUGGGACUGUCCAGGGACCCUUGGGGGCUUCCUGUAAGGAGGCGAACCCCAAUCGUGGGCUCGGUCUGGCGUGCUGCCGCCGAUGGAGUCUGCCGUUAGCACCUGAGCGCCACUGCUGUCGUAGCAACACUGCUGCCCGGCUGCAUACUUGGGACUGCAGCAAGGAAACAUUCUGAAUGUAGACUUCCACCAAGGCCGGGCAAUCCAAAUUUGGAUCAGCAGCAAACCGUGCACUCAAUCCUGCCUGAAUGUUCUUCAUCAUACACACUAACGUCAUAAAAUGCUAAUAAAAGGUGCACCACUAUCAAAGUCUGCGCCAAAAUUGAAGCGGUUUGUGUAAUCCUCCAAUAAAAACCAAACGCUGGCCGUAACAUAAAAAUUUACUUUACAGUGACUUCAUCUCGGUAUAAAACUCUGGAACAAACAGGACUUA